rnacentral:lncRNA from 1 species
AGGAAAUAGUUCACAGGGAAUGAUGGCACAGUAAAUAAUAAUAUGUAAUAAGAGUAAAUGAACAGAGAGUUAUAGUAAUGUACAAAAUGGCUUGAUUCACAUGCCAAGAAAAAUCUGUAUGAAAUGACCAAAGGACUAUUAUCCAUAUGUUAAAGAGAAUGAAAGAAGCAAUAUAAACUAUUAGACAAAAUCAGAACAUUAUAGAAAAAAAAGGGAAAUUUAAAAAUACUAAAUAUAAAUUCCAGAAAUUAAAAACAUGUGAUUUUUGAAAUUAAAAUUAUAGUAUUUAUGACAAAGAAAAGAAUAUAUAUUGUUAAUGAGAGGAAUAUAUUUAGAAUACAAUACAGAGAAAUUAAAUGUUGGACUAUAGGAAGAAGAAAUGAGAAACCAUGGAAAUAUGGAGUGAAAGACUCAUGUUCAAGUUACAAAAAGAGAGUUGGGGAGAAAAAAAUGUUUGGAAACAAGUUUGAUGGUCUAGAAUUUUAGAAAAUAUAUAAGAACAUAGAUUUUUCAGACUGAAAAAAAAUAAAUUCCCAUUGUGGCUCAGUGAUAAGGAACCUGAUCAGUAUUCAUGAGGACUCUGGUUUGAUCACUGGUCUUGCUCACUGGAUUAAAGGAUCUGGCAUUGCUGUGAGCUGUGGUGUAAGUCAUAGACAUGGCUUGGAUCUGGUGUUGCUGUGGCUGUGGCAUAGGCCGGCAGCUGCAACUCCGACUGUGACUCCUAGCCUUGGAACUUCCAUAUGACGUGGGUGUGGCCCUAAACGGACAAAAAAAAAAAAAAAAAGGGAAAUCCAUUUCUAAAUAUUUCUAAAUUAACAGAGGGAUAUAAAGGGGAAAAUAAUGGUGAAAACAUCAAUUAAUUUAGUACAAGGGCAGAAAAAGAAUGAGGUAAAUGAAGCAGAAAAAAUUGUUAUGAAAAUAGAACACAAAAGGAGAUAGUGGAGAGAGCUUAAAACACACCAGAAAACAUGAUAACAAUAGAUUAAAUUCACAUAUGUAAAAGAGCGACUCUGACUUCUCAGAUACUAUGUAGAUCUAUUCCAUUUUUACUAGACAGAAAGCACUAUAUAGUAAUGCAGAAAUGUAAAAUAUUUUUGGGAAAAAAAUGUUCCAGGAGAUGCAAGCCAAAUAAAUGCUUGUUGAUUAAUAAAAAUUAUUUUAAUAUGUGAAACAUUAAUUGGGAUGAAAAAGGAUAUCUCAUAGAAG